UCGAAAUGUUGGAGCAAGGAUACUCAGUUCCAAUCUCUGAGCAGAAUCUGAUAUGACUCAUCUACUCAUAAGACUUUGCGAGAUAGACCGGUACAAAACCGUUUCCAAGGGUUCAUAAUAUAUGGAUUAAUGUGAGUUAUUGUGGACGUUGUGGUUGUAGAAGCCGCGGUAGUCGUGGAAACACUAAUUAGUUAUCUCCUGUAAGCUAUUUUUAUUUUUUUUCCUCACUUCCUCUUCCUCGCAGCUAUGUAUAAUUUUGGUUGGUUAUCUCCAAAACUUUUUAUGGUCAAACAAUUUUGAGAAAGUAAUUUGGAAAGAAAAAAGGUUUAAGAAUAUCUUUUUAUCGUCAAGUCCUCCUCCAAAUUACUUCCUUAAAACUGUUUGACCAUAAAAAGUCAUAGCAAGGUAUUAGUUAUUCUAAUUU